UACGGAGGGGGCUAGCGUUGUUCGGAAUUACUGGGCGUAAAGCGCGCGUAGGCGGACCUGCAAGUCGGGGGUGAAAGCCCGAGGCUCAACCUCGGAACUGCCUUCGAUACUGCGGGUCUCGAGUCCGGGAGAGGUGAGUGGAAUUCCGCGUGUAGCAGUGAAAUGCGCAGAUAUCAGGAGGAACACCGAUGGCGAAGGCAGGUCUCUGGGCCACUACUGACGCUGAGAAGCGAAAGCAUGGGGAGCGAACAGG
rnacentral:rRNA from 1 species